rnacentral:rRNA from 1 species
UUCGGAGAGUUUGAUCCUGGCUCAGAGUGAACGCUGGCGGCGUAGAUUAGGCAUGCAAGUCGAGCGAUGUUUUUUUCUUGAUGUGGUGAAGCCGUAAGGCUGAUCUGUUGAGGGAAGAAUAAUAUAGCGGCAGACUGGUGAGUAACACGUGAGUAAUUUACCUCUAAGUCGGGGAUAGCCUUGCGAAAGUGAGAGUAAUACCCGAUGUGUUUACGACUGCAUAAGCAGUUGUAAGUAAAGGAGGCCCGCAAGGGUUUUUGUUUAGAGAUGAGCUCGCGUCCUAUCAGCUAGUUGGUGGGGUAAUGGCCUACCAAGGCUUUUGACGGGUAGCUGGCCUGAGAGGGUGGUCAGCCACAUGGGGACUGAGACACUGCCCCAACUCCUACGGGAGGCUGCAGUCGAGGAUAUUUAGCAAUGGACGAAAGUCUGACUAUGUGACGCCGCGUGAGGGAUGAAGGUUCUCGGAUUGUAAACCUCUUUCGAUAGGGAAGAAAACCUGCAUUAAUAAUGCAGACUGACGGUACCUAUAGAAGAAGCCACGGCCAACUCUGUGCCAGCAGCCGCGGUAAUACAGAGGUGGCGAGCGUUACUCGGAUUUAUUGGGUGUAAAGGGCAAGUAGGCGUCUUAACAAGUUAGGAGUGAAAUCCUGCAGCUCAACUGCAGAACUGCUUUUAAAACUGUUAGGAUUGAGUUUGGGAGAGGAAAGCGGAAUUCUCGGUGUAAGAGUGAAAUCUGUAGAUAUCGAGAGGAACACCA